ensembl:lncRNA
UCGCUUUUGCAGAAAGGAGUGUUUAUUUGCAACAGUGCACGGGGUGGGGUUGAUUUUAAUUAGGGGGGAAUUACAGUGCAUUUUUCUUACAGUGCAAUGGAACACCGCCUGGACCAGGCGUGGUCAGCCCACGCUCAGUCCAUCACGCACGCACGCACAGCGUAGGCCAAGCUCUGCUCCAUGAGCAGAGCCCCUUAACAUGGCAUCCAUCCCGCUCAGACCUCCCUCCUGCUCCCACCAACAUCCCCACACCCAGCUGGGACGGUGCUCACACCUCUCUGCCCAGGGGUAUUUGGGUCCUGGAGGUGACAUACAGGAGUUACACGGGAUUUUUGCCAGGCUCCCCAUCCCCUGGCUCCCUCCCCACAGGUGCGAAGCAAUGCAGAACCCCUCCACGUCCAGCAGCCAAUGCUGCCUCUUGCUGGGGCCACGGCAGGUUGGGUCCCUCCUGGAGAAUCCCGGAGACAUCGGGCAGAGAGCGGGCAGAGCGCAGCCAGGAAGGAGCUGUCAGGCUGGGGACAUCCCUUCUCCCCUCACUGGGAUCUGGGAAGGAAAGGAAAAGCACACGGAAUCGCAGGAGCUGAGAACGGAAAUGGGAGCAUGGAUGGACCUCAUCCCCAUUUACACCCCACCACCCUCUGCUGUCCCACCCUGUGUCACCUCACCCCUUCCUGACCCACGGAGCCGUCGCCCCGCGCUCCCCCUGCCCCACCGAGGGGCUGCCGCCUGUCCUUCCCCGUAGGCUUUGGGGCAAGGGAUUACUCUGCAUGUCAGAGCCACUAAAGGAGCAGCCCUCUGAUGUUUUAAUCUUCACGUUAACUUUCCCUGCCCUCGGCGCCCUUGGCUGCCUGCAGAAAGUGAUACCUAUGAGGCACGGAGCUGCGGCCGAAGCUGUGAUGCUGAGCCCAAGCGCCCUCAUCCCCUCCGUGGCUCUCCCUGCAGCUCUCACCCCACACCCUAUAGCAGGUUCUUCCCUCUUUUCCUUGACUUCUCCUCCACAAGCACGGGCCCCUCGCAUGGAGCCCAGCCCCGUUCUUUGCCAUCCUCCCUUUGCUUUGCUUAUAAACUGCCGUGCUGGGAAGAGCAAAGUCAAACACACCUCUAAUUCUUCCACGCGCUCGGAUCUAGGGCGCAAAAAGCACCGUCAGGCAGCUCAUUUAUUCUUUUUAGUGCGCCAAAUCAUAAUUUUAUAAAAUAUUGCAAAUUUUAUAAAAUAUUUGCGAGCCCAUUUUAAGAGAUAAAUCUUCGACGUUGGCUCUAAUGAGGCGCCCUGGGAGCAACGCCACGCGAUCCGCUGUAGGUCGCAGCGCUGCGCUCCCGGGCUGCGGCUGCGUGAACCGCCGCCACUCUUUGAACUGUGCAAACACUCCUCACUCUGGGGUCCGGGCUGCCUUUCCGUGGGUGGGUUUUCUUUUUCCUCUUUCUUUCUCUCUUAAAAAAUAGUUCUCUCCCGUAACCCCUUUAUUGCAAUAUUCAUAGGGCGCUUGGUGGGAAGCCAAGGAAAAUCCCUUUUCUCUUGCACAACUCCGAAGCGAGCCUACACGUUAGAGGGGCAGAAGAAAAACGCAGCCCGCGUGCAUUGGUUUUGGGGUGGCUCACGGAGGGCAGACCCCGCGCCGAUGUGUGUGUGUGCGUGUGCAGGGAGUGCAGAGCCAGGCUGGGAAGCGGGGGAGCAUCCGAUGCUGCGUUGUCCUCCAUAACACAAAGCCACCCCAAGUGUCCUCACAUGAUGGGACACAAAGGGUGGUGAGCACAUCCCCAAGCCCAGGAGGGGAGGGAGACGCUGAGCCAUCGUGCUCACCAGGGAAAACCCGUGCUGGUGCCCUGGGCAGUGCCGCGUGAGCUUGCUUCUAACUACCGAGAGACACAACUAUCAUGCCAAGAGGAUGCUCACUGCAAUGGGACACCAUCCACUUGCCUGCAGGUCUGCACCUCCCAGCACUGGGUAACUGGGGCAGGAGGGGCUGGAGGAGCCGGCUGGGUGGAACCCAGUGCCGACAAAGACACCACCAACAGUGACAUCCCCAACAGCAGCACCCCCAGUGAUGGCACCCCCAAAAACAGCACCCUCAAUAGUGGAACCCCCAGUGCCAGCCCACCAACGCAGGUGGCUCUGCCUGACGGGACCACCGCCGUGUGCCAAAGCCCCGUUGUCGGGGCCGGGCAGGAAGGAGGGGCUCUGCUCCUCCCCCAGCUCAGCCCUGCUCCGUCGGUGCGGAGAAACUUUCUGGACAAUUUAAUCGUGCCGAGAUGUUACUUUGAAAACCCUUUAUUCACUGUUGAUUUUUUGUCCCUCCCUUCCUUCUCCCCCUUUUUUCCUCCCUUCCAUCCCUGAUUGCAUUUUGCAAGCCCGCAGUAUCUUUCAUUUUGCACACAUGCACACUUUCAUGCAAAUAGAGUCUUCAUACCUCCUCCCCGGCUCAAGAUCUCCAACUCCAAAGUGACCAAAGCUGUGCUCUGCCCUGCAGCUCCUCAGCAUUACACCUCCGUUCUGCUCCAGGGGCCUGGGGGGGGAAAAAUCAUUUGAAACUAAGAAGACGUGCUGUUUGCUUUGGGUAAUUACAAGCGAGCUUUGGAUUCUUCAAGCAAUGAAAAGUGUGCAAUGGGAGUGGGUUCUAUCCGGGUGUGGUGGUGAUGGGUUGGUGAUUGGACUGGAUGAUCUUAGUGGCCUUUCCAACCUUCACGAUCUCCAGCACCGCUCCCUCCAUCCCACGCCCGCCCCGUGCACCUGGGCACGUGGUUGCAUUUCCUAUAGAGGAACUUCAUGGCGCUUUGGGCUCAGUGAGAGGAGAAUGCUGCUGACAUUUUCUUAUCUCAAGUUACAAUUUCCUGUGAGCAUCACAGUGAUAAAACAUGGGAGAUGUGCAGCUCGCGUGGAGAGAGUGCAUCGUGCACGGCACCGGGGGGCAGAGGAUGCCCGCGGGAUGCGGCUCUCGGUGCCGUCAUUGUUGUCCCCCCGCCUGUCUGCAGGGAAUUUUAUGGGGAGGGCUUUUGGCGGGGCGAGGAGGAGGAGGAGGAGGGGAGCUUUCCCCCAAAGCACCCAGGAAUCUGUCAAAAGAGGGACAGAAAAGAGAAGAAGAAGAAGAAGGGAGACAGAGAGUGGGAACGUCAAGGACCCCUGACUAAUGAAUAGCAAGUUUGCCCUUGAACCUCCCUGGGCUUUGCCAUUCCCAGGCUCCAAACAAGGGCUGAUGCAUGCUUGGGCCCAGCUGCAGGGGGACCGGGCUAUGGUUCAUCUCAGACACUUUGACAGCCCGGGCCUUUUCCCCGCAUAGCUCAGACUCGCCUAACUACUCCCCUGGCAACAGCUCAGUGCAGGAACCUGCGCGGAGGCCCUGCCUGCUGCAUACAGAAGCGUGAGGAGGAGGGGAGCGCUGGGAGAAAUUAGCUGGAGACCGGCUUAACCCGUCAAAUGCUGGGCUGGCACCCUCUGCCCGGCAGCACGGCACUGGUGGGAUCCCUGUGGGUGGCAGUGGGGUGGCAGUGGGGUUUGUACACAGACACUGCCGUGGGGCUGCUGGGGAUGGAGCUCCGCGGGGUGGUGGGAAAGCCCAGGCUGGGAUGGAGAAGAUGAUGAAUGGUGAACGAAUGGCGAACGCUGCUUGAUCGUGGAGCUUGUGCCAGCCGUGUCACUCGUGCCACGCGUGCCACCGGUGUCACUUGUUUCAUUUGUGCCACUUUCGUCACCUGUGUCCCAGGUGGGGAAGCAGCAGCAGCAAGGGCGCAGCCCAACCCCGGCGCAGCAGGCACAGAGCAUCCCUCAGCAGCUGAAAGCAAAGCCUGGGACACGCAGGAGAGGCACCAACUUUCCCCACCACUCUUUUUGCAUUGCAGAUGAAAGACGCGGGGAGCGCCAGCCGUAGGGGUCUGCACUGAAUGGAUGGAGCAAACAGGCACUGCAGACGGCUGCAAACACCCGACGGCUCCAAAGCACGACCCAGGAACGUUCCCACAUCCCGGCCCCUUAUAAAUCAAGGGGGAGAGGGGGAGGGCUCCUUGCCGGCCUCUGUUUUUACAGAGCAUCUUUCAUGUGCAGCCCCUGAGAGAGAGGGCUUUGCUGAGCUUGUUAAGGAGGGCUCCUGCACCAGGCAGAGAGGGGGACGCACCAUAUGGAGAGGAGAAAAAGAAAAGGGGACACUGAAAAUGGAAAAUUAUGCAAAUCAGGAGGAGAGAGGCUCCAGUGAAAGGGGGGAGGGAGGCAGAGGGGGAUGGGAGGGAGCCCUGACUUGGGGACACCAACAGGAGGGACGGCAGUUUCCCACGAUCGGUGUCCGGGCGUGGGACGGCCCUCGAUGGCACCUGGGUGAUGUCACGGUGUCCUCACCAGGGCAUGGCCAUGGGGUACCCCACUGCAGGGUACGUCUCCGGCCCAGCCAUGCUCGCACCAUUGGGGAUGCCCAGUGCUGGCUGUGAGCAGCAGCAAACAGGGGUCUGCGGUGACCUACUUCAUGGAGGUGUCCUCAGGACCUCUGUUACUAUGGCAAUGAGGUGGCAAGAGUAAAAAAAAAUAAUAUAUAUAUAUAUAUUUUUUGUCAAAUCUUUUGGUUUUUAUGCGUCACUGAAAGUAGACUCAUGCACCGAGGUGCUGAGGGCUUUGUACCAAAUGGCUCUGAGCAACAGCAACAAAGCAAAGCCUGGAACUGCCCCACGCCAUGACAGGGGACACUCAGGUGACACAGCUGUGUGUCACUCCUCUGUCAGCACCUCCUGCAGCCCUGCAGCAGCUCUCGCACUCCUCAUGGCAUGACCACACUCCUCCACAGCUCCCCUUGCUCUCUGCCAAACCCUGCUCUGGCUGCUGGCCUCAGCUCACCUUUGGGAACCACCCUCUGCAGCCCCAGCUUGGUCCCCUCCAUCCUGUUCACACCUCUCAAAUCUCUCAGUCGCUUCCAUCGAGACCCACCUGCCCUGCUCUAUGCAGCAUCACCCCACCUCACAUCCCUCCAUCCACCCUCAGCCCAUAAGAAGCUCUCCACACAGGGCUGCUCGGGUCCUGGUGUGCCUGGGCUCUGCUGUCUGUCUGUCCCUGGCCAUCCCAUCCCACUGUCAGGGCAAGACAGAAAUGUGCUGGGGAUGUGCAAAUAGGAGGAGGCAAAGUCAGUGCUGGUGAAGAGCUGGCCCCGGCGGGUUGCAGAAUGGAGAGAAUUCCCAGCAAACAAAGAAAAGGAAAAAGAAAGCCAUCUCCAGCAAAGAUAAAUCUGCAUUGCACGCCAUCAGCUUCCAAGGAAAGUGGAGGAAAUUCUUCCAGCAGUUAAAAAAAGAGAUUAAAUCUCCCAUAUAAUGCACAAAGGCCGCCCUUUUCCCUCCAACAUGUGCUCCAUGGGAAGAAGGAGCAUGCAAGGCGCGGACCCGGGCAGCGCAUGUCGGGAGGUGUGAUGCUGGGAGCACGCGUGUGUGCACCCUCCUAAGGCCACACCAGCUUUCCCAAGUGCAAUUUCAGUGAACACAAUGAAGAUUCCUCAAGAGAAGGAGCCCAAACCUCCCUAGGAGUGAACGAGGCAAAACCAAAGGCAAAGAAAACAUCGUGGCUGGUGCUGGUGGAACAAAGGCUUCCCCCUUUCAGCUUGGAGACAUCUUCUUGGCCAUUGAGCUCAGAUCAAGUGUAGGCUCUGUUGACUCCCCCACCUAUUCAAAGAGCACUUUCAAUAGUCCAAUUGGGCUGUGCUGUUCUAUGGCUUCUCUACGCCUGCAUUUUGCAUCCCCUACCAACGCCGUUAAUGCCACAUGCGGAAACCCAGCCCUGAAAAGGCCUCGUUUGAACUCCGUGGUCAAGCACUUCACAAGUUAGGAAAUGCUCAAUUUACGGCUGUCCGUGCAACCUCAAUUCCACCUCGCCGUGCAUCUACCCUGACCAGGGAAAGAGGGAGUGAGCUAUAAAUAGGCUGUGACCGAGUCACUGCAGCCCGAGAUGGGCACGGGCAGCAGAGGCUGAAUUACAUCCCACGGCCAAAGCGCAGUCGCGCACCCCGACCUGCGAGCGCUUGGUUUGGUGCCUUAAACCCCGUACAUUUUUAAUCUGCAGAAAUCACGUGCAUUCUAAACAUACAGAAAAUGUAUUAUUUAUGCCUAAUAAAUAAUACAUUGUUUAUAUAAGCAAAAAAGCAAAAAAAAAAAAAAAAAAAAAAAGAAAGAAAAGAAACAAUUGUACGCAAGUGUAGCAAAUUCCCCUCCCUCCACCCCACGCUCAUCGCGGGGAGAGGGAUUUCGAGCCUGGAGCCUCGGCACAGAUUUCUGCCACUAUGAAAUACAGAGCUAAUGUUAUCUGGCAGCGGCAGAAGGCUGCUCUCCCGGGGUCGGCGGUGCAGGAAGGCGAACCGCUGGGGCUGGCAGGACCCAUGCACACAGAUGCAAUUUUUUCCUCCCCGCACCGAGUUUGGUGCUGGGAGAUGGGGGCACAGAUGGGUUGGAUGUGGAGGGGGCUCAUAGAGGCGGUCGUGAUGGUUCUUCCAUCCAACCCAGCCGUGCCAGGGCACCGCGCUCCUGGUUUGUUGUGAUUAUUAUUCCGGAGAAACAACACAUUUAUUUUUCUUCCCCCCGCCUCAAAGAGGCAACCGAAGGGAAAUUGUGAUUCUGAAUGAUUCAUAAUUCAGCUAAACCUGAAAGGAAUUUAGGGGACAAAGAAUAGGCAUCGCUCUCGCCGAACAGCUUCCCCCCGCCGAAUUUCAAGGGCCCGCAGCAAACAAUGGGAGUGUCAGAGGGUCUCAAAAAGAGAAAAAAAAAGUUCAACAAUCUUUACAAUAAAAAGUGUUAGGCAACACAGAGGUCAGAGCCGACCCCUCCUAUAAUAAAUAGCAGCACGAUCUUACAUUAACUAUAGGAGACAUUUUAAUGCAGUGCCUCAGCUUCGCGCUAAUUAUACUUUUUCACCAUAUUUUGAACCUUAGAAAAAAUGUCAUCAGUUAAUUAUAACAGAUGAGGGAGUGUGAAGACUUCCUCAAUAAAUAAUGCCUUGAUAUCUCAUAUCCAACACGCUGCGCGCACGGCUCUGAAGGUGCCCAGAAAUAUGUCCUCGCAGGAAAUACAUCAAGAAAUGAUGGUCCCAUAAGCUGGCUUUGUUUCCAAGCCUUGAUUUUCGGCCCAAUAAUUAAGUGAUUUUUAUGGAUCUGGGAGAGUAAAGGUCAUGGGACUGCUGGAAUGGUGCCAGAGAGAUUCAGCAUAAGGGGAAAAAAAAAAAAAUAAAAUCCCAAAGCAAAAUGAGACAUAAAAGACAUGCACGCAUGCGAUUUGGUGCUGCCAGCUUUCCCCAGGUCCCAUCCUUCUGCUCCUCCCAGCGUCUCCGUGGCAGCCUUGAAGCCAAGGUUUAACGAAAGCAGGAUGGAGCUACGGAGCAGGGACCCGUCCCCAUAGAGCAGGGACCCGUCCCUGUGCUACCACGGGGUCCCCAUCCCUGCAGGGGCCGGUGGGUGUUGGGGCAGCGACGGAGCUCCGAGCACAUCACCCUUCUUUCAGCUCCUUCCCCACCUGGCACCCCACACUUCCCCCUCUGAAGGGCCGGGAUUUGGCGUGGGAAAGGUGGCUUUGGGCUUUUCACAAAUCCAGUAUCCCCUUGAACCAAAACCAAUUAGCCUGGCCCAAGGUCCUGCCAUUGAGGGACUGUCCCUUCUUUUCAAACCCCCGCGGGCUCAAUUGCUCUAAGGAGCCUGGAUGUGAAUGAGCAAAGCCCACUUAAAGUGGUACUUAAGGCCAGACCAGGGUGAAGGAAAAGAGAAAGCCUCUAUAGGAUCAGCAAGCUGAGUUUCCAAGAGACAGCUAACUGACGGAGAUUGUGUGCUUUCCUCCCCAGCCCGUUUUCUUUUUUUACUCCCAUUCCUGAGCUGUGCAGGCAAACACCCCUAAACCCAACCUGAGCCGCUGAACAAACAUUGAUGUGGCACCCAGAGCUCUGUCCCCACCCUGCACGCCUCGCUUCUGCCAACGUGUUUUGGGGCAAGAAACGCCAAAAAGCAGCAAACCAACCUGGGCAGGGUGGCAGAGGGAAGCUGGCACAGGCGGCGAUGUCCCCAUCUCACACCACCGACCCCAACAGCUCGUGAGGAUUUGGGGUGACAAAGCGCCCAGGUGACACGUGGCACCCGCGCUACGUGUGAGAUGCAAACACCUUCGUGCUCACAGCUCUGAAAAGCUCCCGGUGCCAAAUUAGCACUUGGCUGCCACAGAGCACCCUGCGCUGAGGGGAUGGGAGCUGUAUGCCUCAGACCUGGGCAGGGCCUCCAGCGCAGCCCCAUGGCACAGACAGAGCCAGGACACAGGGCCAGGUGGAUGCAGGCAGCACGCGAUGAAUCAGGGAGACAAAAGGACCGACGGAGCCAGGCCUCCAGCUCCACACCAGCCAUCGCCAGGCAAUUCCACAAAAAUGCCCAUUGAUGGGAUCUCAUCCAUAACCGAGCGGCCCUGCCUCCAUUCAGCACAGCUUGUUGGAGCAGCAGGCACCAGGCAGCCCCAUCCCCACCCACUCAGUGCCACACAGGUUGGGCACCGGCUACAAAUCCAUGAGCCCAUCCCGCUGCACGGGGAGAAGUUCUGGAGAAGAGAAAUAAAUAAAACAGUUGGAGCACGCGAUGCCCUGUGGCAUCGAUCCCCUAAUGGCAUUUUCCAAUUACCCCCAAGGAUCUUUACAUCCCCGUCUCCCUCUGCCCACCCCCAGCACCGCUGAAGAACAAAGACAUCACACCCGGCCUCGGAGAGCUCACCCCACCCGCACUGCACCCUGUACCUCUGCAAAGGGACCGCCACCAGCAGCAGGAGGGACCUGGGAGCCACGCUCUGCUCCCUGCCUGCAGCGCCGCACCGCCCCACAAGCGAUGAGAGCACCAGCAGGCACCGUCCUUCUGGAUUUGGGAGGAAGGUUUGGGCUGACAGUGACACUGACACCAGCAGGGCGCAGGGCCAAGCGGCAGCAGGCUGCUGGGAUGCUUCAGGUGUGGCCCUGCUCACCAAAACCCAUCCCACGUCCAAAGGAGGUGGGCCAGCGACCCAUCAGAAGGCAGAAAGCGGAGAAGUGGCACUGGGCUGCGAGGUGGGCACUGCGGUGCGGAUGGGUGCACCCUCACUGCCGACUCCCAGGGUGAAAACGAAGAAUGAAACCCCAGCAAAAAUGUGACCACAGCUCCUCUUGCCCGGAACAUAAAGGGCAAAGUGCUCCAUCCCUGCCUCAAACCUACUGUGGGGGAUCAGCUCCGGGAUACGUGGGCCAGCCCUACCGCCUGCAAAACACCCCAACAGUCAGCUGAGAGCACGGGGCUUCGGGGAGGGGAAACUGGGGAGCUGAGGAUGCUGUCUGAGCACCCAAGAGCACGGCGACAGAGCUUGCCUUGUCCUUGGUAGGAGUUCACGUGCACACCCUGAUCGCCACACUUCCAUUUUAUUUCAUAAAUCAUAUAUAUGUAUUUACACACGCACACACAAACACAUUUCUUAUAUGUGUGCGUAUAUGUGUACAUAUAUAUAUAUAUAUAUAUACACACACUUUCUUUUCCUUGGAUUUUCUUUUUAAAUGCCCACCUUUUGCCACUACAAAAGCCAUGGACAGAACUACCUCCUGGGCUGUGCCACACAGCAGCACUCCAGCAACGCAGCUCUCCUCCACCACCGCUCCAACGCUUCCCCCUGAAUUACAUUCAUUAGGAAUUUGAAUGUUUCUUUCUUCCAUCCCCCAUCAAAUCAUUACUCCGGAAUAAAUGCAUUCAUCAAGCACCUUGCUCGCUUUGUUCGCUCCAGUUUUAAAGCAUCUCCACCUCAACGCUCGCACCUGACUCGGCGCUAUCGCACGGGAGGGAAAAUAAAGCAGGAGAGGAACAGAGCACCAACCACAACAUUGCGCAAAGCAAUGGGAAGAUUAUUUCUUAUAAAUAACCGAUGUAACGGAGCAGCGGAAGGGCCGCGUUCCCUCCUCCCACCUCCGAUCCCUUCCACAAUUUCUGGGCUCGCACGGAGCGCGCAUAUUCCAGAUGGAGAGGAGGAGGUCGGCUCCUAAUGACACGUCUUUGGCUGCCUUUGGAAUGAAUGAUUCAUUCGGCGCUCGCCGAGCCGCGGAGCCGCCGUUGAGUUACGUUUCUCUCAAAUCCGUAUCUUUAAUUCCGGCGCUGCGUGUGGGACCCAGCAAAUCACGGAAUUACUGCUGUAACUUCAGAUUAGUAACGCUCUCUAAAUGAUAGUCUAAUUCCAGGCCUUCAUGCUUCCCAGCGCUCCCGCCUGCGCUGCCUUUCCCUGGGAGGUUUCCUGCGGAAUUAGCGCCGCCGCCGCCGUCUCUCUCUGCCCCUUUUUAAUUUCUCCAAUGACUCCUCAUUAGAAUCUCUAUUAACAGCGCUCCUUGGAACUUUGCUUUCCCACGGUACAGCCGAAUUCAGGCUGAGAUCCUUUCUCCUGAUGGGGUUACGGCGGUGGUUUGGCCCUGGAAAGGGUCUCUGCGGCGGCUGAUGCCGGCCCUGCGCUGGGGAUGGUGCAGAGCCCCCCGGGGUGCGCGGAGCUUCCACUUUUCGCUCUCUUGCACCCAGAUGGGCGCGGGCUCGGGCCCCGAUGCUGCCCUCUGCCCUGUGCCAAAAGGACGGGGCCGGGCACCCGCACCCAUACGUGCAAGCAGAGGGAGAGCGGCAGCAUCCUGCCCAUCUCGCUCCUCUCCCGCACCGCGGGGGCAGCGAAGAGCCCCGGGAAGGCGGCGGGGACGGCUCCUUCUGCAUCCCCCCCGCCCCGGGGCUGCCACGGCCCCCGAGGGCGCAGGGAUCGUCCCCGCGGGCACCGGGCGAGGGGCUGCGGCCGUACCCUAUGAGUGCCCCACGGGGCACCCAGGGACUCCAACCCCAGGCGGGGGUGCUCACCCCACACCGGCUGCAAAAACGUGCCGGGGCGGCUCGGCGGAGAGCGCGGUGCUUUGUGUCGCCAUGGGAACGGAAUGCAGAUUUGCCAAUUGCUUUUUUUUCUUUCUUUCUUUCUUUCUCCCCCCCCCCCCCCCCCCCCCCCCCCCCCCCUUUUUUUUUUCUCCCUAUUAUUUGCCAGACAUUGUAAUACAUAUUACGUCCCAACUUCUGGGGCUCGCGGCGGAGGUGCGGGAGGCUCUGUGCCUGCGCUGCCGGAGGGGAGCGCCGGGCUGCGGGACCCGUCCUGGGGAUCCCCUCCCUGCAGACCUCCCCAGCAACAGCGAACUCACAGGGAAAGUGCAGACACGAUCGCCAAGUUGGCCUUCAAUGGGAGGCCGGGAUCAAGCCCAAAGCCGGGGAAAAAAAAAAAAAGAAAAAAGAAAAAAAAAAAUAGAGAGAGAGAGAGAGAAGAAAUAGGAGAGGAUAAAAUAUCACUAAGCAGGUUUUUAGCGAGGUCCGACCGCAGCCUGCGCCGGGGGGGCUUUGUUAGCAGAGCAGCCCCGGGGGCUCCUCUCUUCCAGCCCGCUCCCACGCACCUGGAGCAGAGCGCGUGUGCGCGGUGCUCCCC